rnacentral:lncRNA from 1 species
AUGAGUUUUGUUUCUCAGAUUGUAUCUGAAUUGCAAAGCUCUGAUUUUUGGUGUGGGUGGAGGCUUUUAAUUAGAAUUGGAGUCAAGGGGAAGAAUAACAUUUGGGUCUAGGUUUUGAUCCGAACUGGACAAUAACUUUAUAGGAUUGUGGUGCUCUUUUGUCACAAUAUCUCUCUACUUGAAGCUAUGAUGAAAUUCAGCUUUGUUUUUUAUUCUCUGCCACUUGAUUUCAGUUAUAUUGAGCUAUUGGAUUUUGUGUUUUAUCGUUGUUGUGUUUGUCGGAGGUUUGGUUAGAAGCUGAGUUUUUUUUGUGCGGUCUGAGUCUUGGUCUCUUUGCAUCCGGUAAUAAUUUGGUAUGAUUUUCUGUUUUCGAAGAAUAACUUGAAUUCACUGACAGUGGAGGAGGUAAUAUCUUCGAUGUAUUGAAGUCAUUGAAUUUAGCUCUUUUCGAUCUGACUUACUGGAAGCCCAUCUCAAACUAAGGGGCAGAAAAAAAGAGCUGCAUUCUUACCAUAGCAGCAUAGCUGGAUUUUGGAUAUUUCUGCUCAAGUUGGCUGCAAAAAGGUGUUUGGAGCAGGUUGAAGCUUCGGAAAGAUUCACAGAGAUGGGAAAUAAAAGCUUUGCACAUUGUUUGGUAAGGAUAUCUGAUCUAGAGACAAAUGGAAUAGAUGGAAAAUAAAAACUUUCUACAUUCUUUGUUUGGUAAGCAUAUCUGACUUGGAAAAAAAAAAAAAGACACUAAAAUGAUGUGUUAAGCAAUUUAUUUCGUUGUUUGUUGUCUACUUGCUUGCAGACUAUCAAGGUCAACGGUCACUUGCGAAAUCAGACCCUAACAUCACAUCUCUUGCCCUUGUCAUUUCAUUUUGAAAAAUUGUUUGCAGCAGAUUCUUCUGUCAAAUAUAUUCCCCAGUGUUAAAACAAAUUUUUAUUGCUAGCAGUAUGAUGUUCAGGGUGUUUCGUCAUAUUCUUAUGCCUCACCAAUGUGCUUCAAAAAUAUAACUUACAGCUGUCUUGGCAUGCUUGCAUCGGGUAGGCAGUCCCCAACCUCUGAUGUAUUCCCGCCAAGGUUAAUUACCAACAGAAACUAAUGAUCAUCAAUGUCAUCGUGUAAUGGGAUGAAUAUCUACAUCAUAAUAAUAGUUAGCCGUGGAACCAAUGUAGUUUGAAUAAUGAUGGAACAAAUUAUAUAAAUCGGUUGUUGCCUGAGAGCAGCGUUGGAACCUCCGGUGAAACCGCUUAAGACCACACAUAGAAAUGGUUCAAUCAAGUAAGCCAACAUAAUCUUGUGCUUCCUCAUGUGACCUAGCACGUUCCUGU